rnacentral:hammerhead_ribozyme from 1 species
AUCCAGCUGAUUCGUCUCAGAUAGGACGAAACGCGCGUCCUGGAU